rnacentral:rRNA from 1 species
CGGAGGAUCCAAGCGUUAUCCGGAUUUAUUGGGUUUAAAGGGUGCGUAGGCGGCUAAUUAAGUCAGGGGUGAAAGACGGUGGCUCAACCAUCGCAGUGCCCUUGAUACUGAUGAGCUUGAAUACACUUGAGGUAGGCGGAAUGUGACAAGUAGCGGUGAAAUGCAUAGAUAUGUCACAGAACACCAAUUGCGAAGGCAGCUUACUAAGGUGCAAUUGACGCUGAGGCACGAAAGCGUGGGGAUCAAACAGGAUUAGAUACCCUGGUAGUCCACGCCCUAAACGAUGAAUACUCGAUGUUAGCGAUAUACAGUUAGCGUCUAAGCGAAAGCGUUAAGUAUUCCACCUGGGGAGUACGCCCGCAAGGGUG